AAAAGAGAGUUAAAAAGUACGUGAAAUUGUUGAAAGGGAAGCGUUUAUGACCAGACUUGGGCUUGGUUAAUCAUCUGGGGUUCUCCCCAGUGCACUUUUCCAGUCCAGGCCAGCAUCAGUUUUCGCCGGGGGAUAAAGGCUUCGGGAAUGUGGCUCCCCUCGGGGAGUGUUAUAGCCCGUUGUGUAAUACCCUGGCGGGGACUGAGGUUCGCGCUUCUGCAAGGAUGCUGGCGUAAUGG
rnacentral:rRNA from 1 species